GCACCUAUGGAGCAGUAGUUCAGCUCAUUCCCCUCCCAUGAUUUGCCUCACUGGCAGCUUGGUUAGGGAAAGACCCGGGUGCGAAUCCCGGUGGGUGCA